UACGUAGGGUGCAAGCGUUAAUCGGAAUUACUGGGCGUAAAGCGUGCGCAGGCGGUUUUGUAAGACAGGUGUGAAAUCCCCGGGCUUAACCUGGGAACUGCAUUUGUGACUGCAAAGCUGGAGUGCGGCAGAGGGGGAUGGAAUUCCGCGUGUAGCAGUGAAAUGCGUAGAUAUGCGGAGGAACACCGAUGGCGAAGGCAAUCUCCUGGGCCUGCACUGACGCUCAUGCACGAAAGCGUGGGGAGCAAACAGG
rnacentral:rRNA from 1 species